CGGACGGGUGAGUAAUGUCUGGGAAACUGCCCGAUGGAGGGGGAUAACUACUGGAAACGAUAGCUAAUACCGCAUAACGUCGCAAGACCAAAGAGGGGGACCUUAGGGCCUCUUGCCAUCGGAUGUGCCCAGAUGGGAUUAGCUAGUAGGUGGGGUAAUGGCUCACCUAGGCGACGAUCCCUAGCUGGUCUGAGAGGAUGACCAGCCACACUGGAACUGAGACACGGUCCAG
rnacentral:rRNA from 1 species